GGGGAAAGGGAAGGAAAGAGAAAACUGCUUGUCAACUUAUUACAAAAGCACAUCCUAAGAGGAGUAGCUACUUCGCUUGUGAAGAUGUCAAGAGAAACCAUAUGAAUAUGUUGGUAAAGUACUCCAAAUAUGAAAAUCUGCUGCCUAGUUCCGAGCAAGCUGUUGAUGCCAAUUUAAGAUAUAAUCGAAUGCCAAGACUCGCCAAACUACACACAUCUCAAAAAGUUGCUGAACCUAUUGAUCCGGCUCAUAGUGUCAGUCCUCAUAGUGGACAU
rnacentral:misc_RNA from 1 species